rnacentral:lncRNA from 1 species
CAAGAAGGAGGCAGACACAGGCCUGGUUAGACACCUGGUGCAACAGUGGAUCUGAGCCGGAGAAAUGAACAGUGCCCCAGUGGUCUGCAUUUUUUCAGUCUCCCAGCUUUAGCCCUUGGUCUCGGCGCCCAGCCAAAAAUUGGUAUCUUUAUUUUAAAAAAGAAAUAAAAUCUCUUCUUCACAUUUUAUGCAGAUUUGAAUUAAAAGAGAAUUAUAGAUUUAAAUAUGAAAGGUAAAACUAUGAAGAUUUUACUAGAUAAUAUAGGAGAGUAUCUUAAUCUGUCUGGGGUUAGAAAAGAUUACUUACACAUUUUUCCAAAAGUUAAUUAUAGAAGGCAUGAUUGAUGUCUACAUUAAAAUUAAGAACUUCCAGUCAUGAAAAGACAUCAUUAAAAGACAAAGUCACAGAGUAGAUGUUCACAAUACAUGUAAAUGACAAAAGGACUCAUAUCCAGACUAUAUAAAAAACUAAAAAAAAAAAAAGUCAGACAUUCCUAUAGAAAAACAGGUACUUCAUAAGUGAGGGAAUCCUGGCUGGGCACGGUGGCUGACACUUGUAUUCCCAGCACUUUGGGAGGCUGAGGCAGGUGGAUCACUUGAGGCCAGGAGUUCAAGACCAGCCUGGCCAACAUGGUGAAAUCCCAUCUCUACCAAAAAUACAAAAAUUAGCCAGAUGUGGUGGCACGUGCCUGUAGUCCCAGCUACUCAAGAGGCUGAGGCAGGAGAACUCCUUGAAUACGGGAGAUGAAGGUUGCAAUGAGCCGAAAUAGUGCCCCUGGGCCACAGAGUGUGACUCUGUCAACAACAACAGCAACAGCAAAAGUUGAAAUGAUUCUAAAGUUUGUAGAGGAAAACAGCUGAGACC